rnacentral:tRNA from 1 species
GCUGAUGAUAUAGCUCAGUUGGUAGAGCGCACCCUUGGUAAGGAGUGAGGUCGGCGGAAGUUCGGGGUAUCUGCCUAUCCAGCACCA